rnacentral:rRNA from 1 species
AUUGAACGCUGGCGGCAGGCCUAACACAUGCAAGUCGAGCGAGCGGCGGACGGGUGAGUAAUGCCUAGGAAACUGCCUGAUGGAGGGGGAUAACUACUGGAACCGGUAGCUAAUACCGCAUACCAUCAGAUGUGCCCAGAUGGGAUUAGCUAGUAGGUGGGGUAAUGGCUCACAUAGGAGACGAUCACUAGCUGGUCUGAGAGGAUGACCAGCCACAAUGGAACUGCGACACGGUCCAGACUCCUACGUGAGGCAGCAGUGGGGAAUAUUGCACAAUGGGCGCAAGCCUGAUGCAGCCAUGCCGCGUUUAUGAAGAAGGCCUUCGGGUUGUAAAGUACUUUCAGCGGGGAGGCGUUACCCGCAGAAGAAGCACCGGCUAACUCCGUGCCAGCAGCCGCGGUAAUAC